UACGGGGGGGGCAAGCGUUGUUCGGAAUUACUGGGCGUAAAGGGCUCGUAGGUGGCCAACUAAGUCAGACGUGAAAUCCCUCGGCUUAACCGGGGAACUGCGUCUGAUACUGGAUGGCUUGAGUUCGGGAGAGGGAUGCAGAAUUCCAGGUGUAGCGGUGAAAUGCGUAGAUAUCUGGAGGAAUACCGGUGGCGAAGGCGGCGAGCUGGCCUGUUACUGACGCUGAGGCGCGACAGCGUGGGGAGCAAACAGG
rnacentral:rRNA from 1 species